GAUGAACGCUGACAGAAUGCUUAACACAUGCAAGUCGAUGGGGAAGUGGUGCUUGCACCAUGGUAACCAUGGCGGACGGGUGAGUAACGCGUAAGGAACUUACCUGCGGGACCGGGAUAAUAGCAGGAAACUGCUGACAAGACCGGAUAAGGUCAUUAAGCUGCAUAGCUUAGUGAUGAAAGGAGACGCCUGCGGAGAGCCUUGCGUCCUAUUAGCUAGUUGGAGGGGUAACGGCCCACCAAGGCGAAGAUAGGUAGCCGGCCUGAGAGGGUGGACGGCCACAAGGGGACUGAGAUACGGCCCUUACUCCUACGGGAGGCAGCAGUGGGGAAUAUUGGACAAUGGGGGCAACCCUGAUCCAGCAAUUCUGUGUGCACGAAGACGGUUUUCGGAUUGUAAAGUGCUUUCAGCAGGGAAGAAGGAAGUGACGGUACCUGCAGAAGAAGCGACGGCUAAAUACGUG
rnacentral:rRNA from 1 species